GGCAGUGCCUGCCGGCUCUAAGCGUAGUAAUUUCUCUCGCUAUAGGGCCCGGUGGAACACGCGCCAGAACCCCCAACUUUCUAUGGUUGACCUCGGAUCAGGUAGGGAUACCCGCUGAACUUAAGCAUAUCAAUAAGCGGAGGAAAAGAAACCAACAGGGAUUGCCUCAGUAACGGCGAGUGAAGCGGCAACAGCUCAAAUUUGAAAUCUGGCUCUUUUAGGGUCCGAGUUGUAAUUUGUAGAAGAUGCUUUGGGUGUGGCUCCGGUCUAAGUUCCUUGGAACAGGACGUCAUAGAGGGUGAGAGUCCCGUAUGUGACUGGUCGCCUUCGCCCGUGUAAAGCUCUUUCGACGAGUCGAGUUGUUUGGGAAUGCAGCUCAAAAUGGGUGGUAAAUUUCAUCUAAAGCUAAAUAUUGGCCAGAGACCGAUAGCGCACAAGUAGAGUGAUCGAAAGAUGAAAAGCACUUUGGAAAGAGAGUAAACAGUACGUGAAAUUGUUGAAAGGGAAGCGCUUGCAACCAGACUUGCGCGUGGUUGAUCAUCCGGUGUUCUCACCGGUGCACUCUGCCGCGCUCAGGCCAGCAUCGGUUUUGGUGGUUGGAUAAAGGCCCAAGGAAUGUAGCUCCUCUCGGGGAGUGUUAUAGCCCUGGGUGCAAUGCAGCCUACCGGGACCGAGGACCGCGCUUCGGC
rnacentral:rRNA from 1 species